rnacentral:rRNA from 1 species
UACGGGGGGGGCAAGCGUUGUUCGGAAUUACUGGGCGUAAAGGGCGCGUAGGCGGCCUUCUAAGUCGGACGUGAAAUCCCCAGGCUCAACCUGGGAACUGCGUCUGAUACUGGAUGGCUUGAAUCCGGGAGAGGGAUGCAGAAUUCCAGGUGUAGCGGUGAAAUGCGUAGAUAUCUGGAGGAAUACCGGUGGCGAAGGCGGCAUCCUGGACCGGCAUUGACGCUGAGGAGCGAAAGCCAGGGGAGCAAACGGG